UAUAGCUCAGCGGUAGAGCACAUGCUUAGCAUGCAUGAGGUCCUGGGUUCAAUCCCCAGUA
rnacentral:tRNA from 1 species